CCAAAACCACUCAUAUUUGGGGAAUGCUUAUCCCUUUCUUUUGUGUUUCCACACGAGAGAGCGAGAGAGAGAGAGAGAGAGAGAGAGAGCCCGCUGUCUUGUUCUUGUAGGUUUUGCCAAUGUUGACACCUUCCCAAUCCAAGGACUGCAGUUGCGAUCGUAAAAUAUUUUCCCUUCAUUAAUUUUUGAGUAACAGAAGAAGAAAUUCAAUUAAAUAUCUCGAUCAGAAAAAAUCGGCGCCGUCCCCUUUUAGGCAAGGGAAGAUAACGACGAUACAAAGGGGAAGGAAUCAACCGAGCCUUUGGCACGAAGGAAGGAUCAGUCCUGGACAUUUUGUUCACUGUCGACACCAUUAUCGUGCAAUGGGUUUUUGGUUUUGGACAAGCAAAACCCGAUAGGCUGUCCACCGUCCAAAAGGACGGUCCAAAACCAAAACGUCGAGUGAGUGGUCUUGAAUCGAACCACAAAAACGAUCAAACAGACAAACACAGUCAGGAUCAAACGAAAGAUGCUGUUUGGCUCCUCUCAGCAUUUCUUUUCAGCGCAUACGAAAGGGAAGGCGAUGGAGCUAGCUGCAUGCGUUGCGCGCCGCUCUUUGAGGACAUGCACGCACAGUGUUUGUGAAAAGUGUCAAUUGGGUUGCUAUAGACUGAGUUCACUCAGUUGAUGGAGUUGACUUUCGCUCCUUCUACAAAAGACGAAGGGGUCCUCUUCACGGUGGAUGCUAAAGCCACCUCAUCGAAAAUUACAAAAAUUUUCAGAAACCAGGAGACCUUUCAUUUUUUUUUGUUUUUUUACCUUCUGUGUUGAUGGGCUCCACCCAGCCUGGUCAUUUGAAUGGGUAUCACCAAUUUUGCACGAGAAUCCAGUUAUUCUUGUGCAAAAAUUCAGCAGAAGGCGAUGCAUCAGAAAUUAGCUGCAUUUGAUUAUUCUCAUGUCAGCCAUGGUUGUCCAAUCUCUUUGCAUGCAUGGAUGGCUGACGUGGGUGGGACAUUAUAAAUCUAACAGUUCCUGACAUAAACAGUGCAGCUAAUCUGGAAUUGAUUCAACCUGAGGAAUUAGUUAGCUAUAAUUAACAAAUUUGACGGUGGAGGAAUAUGCUCUUUUAUGAUUUUAAGUAUAAGAAUAGAAUACAAUAAAAUGGAGUUUUAUAUUACAC